rnacentral:rRNA from 1 species
UACGUAGGGGGGCAAGCGUUGUCCGGAUUUAUUGGGCGUAAAGAGCGUGUAGGCGGCCAGACAGGUCCGUUGUGAAAACUUGAGGCUCAACCUCGAGACGCCGAUGGAAACCGUCUGGCUAGAGUCCGGAAGAGGAGAGUGGAAUUCCUGGUGUAGCGGUGAAAUGCGCAGAUAUCAGGAAGAACACCCGUGGCUAAGGCGGCUCUCUAGUACGGUACUGACGCUGAGACGCGAAAGCGUGGGGAGCGAACAGG